CGGCCCCUCUAUUAAAUAGUACGGUAUGUACUGUUUAUUCAAUGUUUAGCAAUGGUAGACAUUCUAGAACAUUCUGUCUUCAACAAUUUUGGAAACGGUUUCCACUGUCUGCCCUGCCCAUAUAAAUAUCCUUAUGGGACGACUGCACUCACAAAUGUGAAAUAACACAAAUAAAACAAAUGUGUACCAAAAAAAUAUAACUUAAAAUGCACUUGACUUGCUGUACACCAUGUUUGCCAAUAUGUUUCACUCAAUGCUCCCUGGCAUAUAACGUUGUUUAGGUAAACAGAAAAAUAGCUUUGAUAAUAUCGCUCUUUAUUUGAUGUUAGUUUUCUUUAAAAAAAAAAAAAUCAUUUGCCUCCCCCCUCCCCCCACCCUCAACAUGCGGCAGCCUUGUCCUCAGACAACCUCAUGUCUGGGGAGCAACUGCUGCAGUGUGAUGUGUCUGGAAAUACCUCUGCAGGUUCAUCAUCCACCAAGCCGAGCUCUGCCAGUAAAAUUCACAUUCGGAAAAGAAGCAGCUCAGUCACAGGCACCAUUGCACUAUUUUUACGAAUUAUGUUCAUUUUGUCUUUGUGCUAGAGCGAAUUUGAUUGGUACAAAUGUGUCUCGUUACAUUACAUUUAUUUGGCAGACGCUUUUAUCCAAAGCGACGUACAAAAGUGCAUAUCAAGGUCUCUUUAUGUCCUGCAUAAACCUUUUUCUACAAACACUGAAUUAAAAGGCGCUACAACAUUACAAAUGACAAUACAAAACUGCGUCAAAAUGACGACAUGAAAAAUUUGAAUGUGACAUUGUCCUAAGGGUAUUAAUAACAACAAAAACUGAAAUUAUUAAAUAGUUACAGCAGCUGAUUUAGGGACUGUGACAGGAUUAUUUCAUGUUUAGAAAGAUUGAAGACAUUUAAAGAAGGAAUUUUUUUUUGCCUUCUGUGCUCCUUUAAAUCAAUGUUAAGGUUUUGUAUCAGAUACAAAAGGAACACUAGCUUAGAUGUAUUACUUGUAUUAUUUAUGAUUGCUCCACACUGUAAACAGACUCCUGUUUUCAGCAUGGAGCAGUCGUCGCCACAGUACGCCUUUCUCCUUCGCUCAUUUCCCUGUUACAGUUCGGUUCAGAAAUUGGGGCACUGCCCGCUACUGCCGUAAAUGGCCAGCGAGGCUCGGCAGCCCCCCCCUGCCCCCUGCGAGAGCCACCCACCUGCAUCCCAGCGCCACCCCAUGUUUUCCAAUCUGAGUCUCCCCACAGGAAACCUCGCUGUCACAAUGAAUCGAAUGCGCGAGGUUUACCUAGAGACGACAGAGCUCCUCAGAUGAACCCCUGUGUAGUGGCUGUGGAGCAGAUGGUGACCGAACGUCCCUCUCCUCUCUGCAGCGCCCCUGAGGCGGUCACAGGGGGGCGCUGGCUCAGCGCUGUCUGAGCCCGGCGCCGCUAGUGCCUUUCCCAGCACACAUUACAGCAGCCAGACAAGUCCAGGCAGCACCAGACUCCUCCGCCAUAGCGUCUACGGUAACAUUUAGCACUCUUUCAACCAUAACUGCCUCUUUGCACUUUUGCCUGUUUUACAUGUGAUGAAGGGAAGCAAAAAGCAUAAUGUCUGCUCAGGCAUUAUGUGCGUUCACUUUCUGUUUUUCGCUGAGAGCUCAUCAUUGUGUGUCUAGGGACUAGGGGGCAUGUGUUUAAAAUGUUUGUUUUGGGUGAUGCUGCCCCGAUCUCUCUGUCAGGCUCCUAGGCACAUAUGCCUGUUCCCUGUUGCCGGGGAGACAAAGCACCUUCUCUCAAGCAUGGCAUCAGAGCACUUUCAUUAGACAACAGUGGAAGUGCAGCACCCUCCUCUGUUUAUGUAGCCCCCAAGUGUCAUCUUUCACUCCCCCUUUAGCUGCUUUCCAGAAGUGGGAUCAAAGCUAGAGACAAGCAGUGUGUUCGUGUCUGGAUUGUGGACGUGUCUGUAUGCCAGUUUCCAGUACGCUGAGGGGCUGGCGUUUUCAGCAUGGUUCUCAGAAGUCUGACUAAGUUCUAGGAAGAGAGAAAAGGGGUCAUGCUGGGUCAGUCACAAACAUUUAAUGAAAAACAUUGUUCACAAAACAAUAAACAGACAUUCUUCGUAUAAACCAAAUUGAUCCCAAUAAAAAGGGAUAAAAGUGAAUUUGACGGAGGAAAGGGAUUAUUAGGCCGAUUGUUAACAGAUAUGAUAUGAUUUCUUUUAUUCAUCUUUGAUACCAGAGAAUCAUAUUUACCAAGGAAGUGUGGAGUCAAACUGACUGUUACCAUUAUGAUUUGGCCAUACACUCUAAUGGAAACCACUCAUUUUGAUGAAUUUAUUGUAAUUGUAUCAUCUGGUUGUCAUUUUUUGACAAUGAGGCAGAAAGCAUGAAGUCUAUGCGGUAUCAAGCACUGUAUCAAAACAUUAUGCCUUUGUACUCUUGCUCAUGUAAUAAUAAAAGUAUUGAUAAUACUUUAGAUAUACUUUAGAUAGAAAUGAGAGCACUGUUUGGACUGAUUUUGAGAUGCUGUCUAGCUAGCUAACUUAGCCAGCUCUCUAACGUUAGUUAAGUCAGCAAAGUUAGCUCUCGGCCGGGUGGUAGCAUUCAUAGCCUAUAUCUUUCUUCACACCCAUCCAUACACAUGUCCAUGCAUACCGCUAUCACUGUACAAACACAUAUAUGAUGGUUGAAUUAUACAGUUGAAUACAAAUUAAUUAGAAUAGCCUGACUUAAUUUUAUAGGUCCGGUAUCAUGUAAAUACAUAUGAAUUAUUAUAAAGUAAAUGAGGAAUGAACCUGACGGGCUGGCCCGCUAUUGGAAAAAAUGUAUGACGGUACGACAAAGUACACUAUUUUCCAAUAACAGGACAGCCGAGAGUGGUUUAUUCCGCUUAUACAAUGGUUACCAACAACAAUUACAUAUCAGUUACGUUUAUCUUUAUUGAUUUUUUAUCGACUUACUCAUGUUGCUGUCUAACUGCUUUAGAAGGCUGGAUUUUGUAGCGUAUUGAUUUUAAAACUGUUAAAAGGCAGAAGUGUCCCGUUAUUGAAAGUGAAUGCACAACCUUGGACCAAUCAGAAUUGAGUAUUCAGCCAAACAGCUGUAUAAGUAAGGAGUAAACCAUGACAGGUUGUCCUGUUCUCGGAAAAUAAUGUACGAUGGGGGUGGUGAUGAGGUGAUGCCAAACAACAAAUCAUGUGCCAAAUGUUAGAGAUUUGUGACUGCACUGAAGAAGCCUACAGGGAUCUAAUGGUGCUAAGACCAGGCUGGUGUAUGAAUAAACAGGAACUAGACCUCACAUAAAGAGAAAGCCUUCAAGGGGAAGGGAAAUCUGGAGCCUGUUUUUGAUUAGAGAUAAAGGGGUUUCAGGGUAGCCAUAUGAUCUUGUAAAAGAUCUCUUGGUGUAGCAUUUUAUUUCACAUAGCAUUUUAUUUCACAGAAGUAAAGUUAUAAAAAAAACUACUUUUUAUUGAACAUGUACUCUACAAUCUCUCAUGAGCUUUCAUGGAAGUGUUCCCCCAGUUAUUAAAUGAGUUGAUAAAGGUGUCAUAAAUCCUCAGAGUGUUAACAAUCAUUAUUUUUCCAUUUGUCUUGUGAUUUACAGAUUUAUACUGGGGCAAAAAUGUGGUAUAGUUUCAUAAUUUCAAGAGAUCAUUUUAAAGCGACUGUAGCCAUCAUGAAAACAUUUCAAACUAAGUCUACUGACGGAAACCAGGCCAUUCCGGUAUGGUCGGAAGGUUGGUCAGAGACGAGUGUAAAUCCUAUGUGUAUUAUCACCUAUCCUUUUGGCUGUAAAUGUCAAAUGUAAACAAAAACACAUUUUCACUGUACAAAAAUGCCAAGUUACUCACGUAUGCAAAGAAUACAAAGCAUGUUCUCUUGAGAUGGUGAGAUGAAAAACAUAGGGCCAAAUUACAUAAAAUAAUUUAGGGAAAAUUGGGUAACAUUGCUUUGGAAUAGAGCUUGUUUAAUUUGUUUAAUAUUGCUUGUUGUAACUUUGCCUUAUUUUGAAAUCGAUACUUUUAAUGGAAGGCCAAAAUUUUGCAAGUUUUAAUUAAAGGCUUCUAGACAGUGCUUUAUGCAUUAGUAACUUACCAUUUUUGUAUGCUGAAAAUGUGUUUAUGUUGAUAGAGAAUGAAUUUUAAUGAAACAUGAAUGAGUUUCCCACAAAGAUUAUACAGCUGUGACAAAGAAGAAGAAUAAGAAACACAAAAGGUUUGGGGCUUUAUUGUGUGGAAAUGUGAAGCUGUUUGUGAAUUUUGUCUGUUUAUAUGAGGUCAGAAGGCACAGAACUUAAUGUUCUGAAGGGCUGGUCAUUGUGGUUAUUUCUGUUGGAAACCCUGAAAAGUGCCAAACCCUGGGUACUGAAUGGGUAUGGGGCAUGCUGCCCCACCAAGCUGUAACUUGGCAGGAUGGCAUGUAUGGCCAAUGUGUGGUAAUACAGAAUAUAGUCUCUUUGGGAUUUGAGUUAAUCGUUUUGAGUUCUACUCAUUUUCAUCAUAAAAGCAUCAGUUCUGGUUUUGUUUCCUGAAGACAUGCAUGAUUUCUUUCACAUGAAGAAAAAUGUCUCCUUUGUUGGCACCUAACGAGGGAUUUAUAAUUUUUAUAAUUUUUCCAAACUUUGCCAAUCAAAUGACCUCUUUUCAUUUCCGUGGUUUACCACUGCAACGGAAAACAAGAAUAUGCUCAUCAUAAGAAGCUUCUCCCAAGAGGAAACUGAUGCUGUUGUGUGGGAAGUGUAGAGUAGAGCUGUCACCUUUUCCAAGAAUUCAAAAGAAUAAAUAAGAGAAAUUUGUUAGAAUUUUCUACCACCAAAAUUUCAAUGAAACGUAUAAUGAAAUGUAUAUUAUUAUGGUGUAUGGUGUGACCUGUUGUUAAAUAGCUUAAACGCACUAUGCUAGAACUACAACAUAAUGACAAAAGAAUUUUGAAGUUGUAUUAAAAUAAAACCAGGGAAGAUCAUAACAAUUCCAGUUAUGUUGUUCGCCGUAAUGAACUCAGUAGAUAGUCUGUUGCUCAAAUGAAAAGAAAAAUUAUAACGCAUGAGCUGGGAGACCAUAUAUUGGAUUUCACGAAAAGAGGAUGAAUGGGCAGGGAUUAUGAACAUAAUACAUAAUAAUCCUCCAUUUCAAAUGUAUUACCUACAGGCUACAUGGAUAGCAUGAACCACAUAUUAAUUUUAUUUUUAGGCUACCUAACGGCAUACGGACAUUACUAAUGCAGUUAAUGCAUGUAGUUUGCAUGUAGCUAUGAUUUUAACUACAGUCACAAAAUUGAAAAGAUUUUUCAAGUAGCAUUUAUUGUCAUUCUUCUCAUUACUGACAGAUGUAAGACAAAAACAGAAAACGUUUUACCAUAAACAAUUAAAAACAGAAAAAAAUGCUUGAAUUAACAUUAAGAAAAAAACUACCUAUGUAACUUGUGGCAUAGACAUGGUCUGAGCAGACACAAUGCAGGCACAAAUGCUGACACCAAAAUUGCGAUCAGCUGCACCAAAAUUGCAGUGCGCUGCUUGAAAUUCACUGACACAUCCCCAACAGCACCUCUCCUCCAACUUUGGCGCACGUCGAGUCAUCAAAUUACCAAAUUGUGUUGCAAUCCAUGACAAAAUUACAACUUCACCAGUGCGACAGCUGGCCACACGUUGUAUAAUUGCCGUUUGGUUUUCCUUGUGUUUAUUGCAAAUUAAACAGCCAUCUUAGUAACACCUGGUGUUGUUAGGGCAAGUCUGGCCUGCAGGCUGUAGCAGAAUGUGUACUUUUUAAUAUGUUUUUUAUGUAUGCAAUAUUUUCUAUGUAAUCAUGCGGAAUGAAAAUAAUAGCAAUAAUGGGGCUCCUCAAAGCUCUGUUAUGCAGUUGAACUAGAUAUUUGGGUAAUAGCCUUGUUUUCAUUCAAAGGACAGAGUGAUCUAGAUGCCUUAAUGUUUUCUGCCCUGCUGUUUGUGGACUGAGCGAGUUCUUUCUUAAUGAGCUUGAGUAGGUGGCCUCCAGAUGAAAGUAUUGUGAUGCUUUAAUUGUUGUUGGCAUGUCUUGUUUACAAAAUAAAAAUUUUGGUUUGAAAA